UAGGGAAUAUUGCAAAAUGGGCGAAAGCCCGAUGCAGCAACGCCGCGUGGGCGAUGAAGGCCUUCGGGUCGUAAAGCCCUUUUUGAGGGGAUGAGGAAGGACAGUACCCUCAGAAUAAGCCUCGGCUAACUACGUGCCAGCAGCCGCGGUAAAACGUAGGAGGCGAGCGUUAUCCGGAUUUACUGGGCGUCAAGCGCGUGCAGGCGGAUUGGAGAGUUGGAUGUGAAAGCUCCCGGCUUAACUGGGAGAGGUCGGUCAAUACUUCCAGUCUUGAGUGCAGUAGAGGGAAGUGGAAUUCCGGGUGUAGUGGUGAAAUGCGUAGAUAUCCGUAGGAACACCAGUGGCGAAAGCGGCUUCCUGGACUGUAACUGACGCUCAGAC
rnacentral:rRNA from 1 species